GAGAGACGCUGGCGGCGUGGAUUAGGCAUGCAAGUCGAACGGUAUCAUCCUUCGGGGGUGAGAGAGUGGCGAACUGGUGAGUAACACGUAGGUUAUCUACCCUCAAGACGGGGACAACCCAGGGAAACUUGGGCUAAUACCGGAUGUGAGCAACUUUUAGUUGUUUGAAAGGUGGCGUAAGCUGUCGCUUGGGGAUGAGCCUGCGUCCUAUUAGUUAGUUGGUGAGGUAACGGCUCACCUAGGCAAUGAUAGGUAGGCGGCCUUAACGGGUGGUCGCCCACACUGGGAUUGGAGAUACGGCCCAGACUCCUACGGGAGGCAGCAGUCGAGAAUAGUCUACAAUGGUCGGAAGACUGAUAGUGCGACGCCGCGUGAACGAUGAAUCCCUUCGGGGUGUAAAGUUCUUUUAUAUGUGAGCAGUGCUUCUUAUAUUAACAGUAUGGGGAGAGAGAUAUUAGCAUAUGAAUAAGCAACGGCUAACUCCGUG
rnacentral:rRNA from 1 species